rnacentral:lncRNA from 1 species
AAGAACUCCCUGCGCCUCCAUGCAGCCUAGCAUGGAUUGAAGGUGCCGGCGGUUGAGAAAGAACCAAGGGUAGAGCACACAGAAGCAGAGCAAGGUCCUCUGAUGCAGGAUGAAACUGUUGCAGAUUCACGUAUGUUGGAGCCUGAUUCAGUGCUGCUGGGGCCAGAGACAACAGAGGAACACAGAGUACCAGAAGAGACACAAGUGAUGUUGGAGGAACCGAUGCUAGAGGCAGAUUACCUGACUGAAGAGAUGCCAGAGACAGAACUAGAGCCUGAGCCAGAAAUAACUGCCAUUCAGAUGAACAGAAACAUCAUACCUGUGGAGGAAGCUGUACAACAGUUAGAGUCUGAAACUAAUAUAGAGGUGGAAGAUGAAAAAGAAGAAAAUGUAGUAAAGGAGGAGCCUACACUUGAGGCUGAUUAUAUAGAGGUUGAAGAUCCAGAAAUACAAAUGGAACUUGGGAGGGAAAGACGAAGGACACAGAUUGGGAGAUGGACUUGUAGAGGAGUUGUCCUACAGGGCAAAUGUUACCAGUACUUCACAAGAAACCUUGAUGCCUAUACUGCUGAGUUACAAUGUCAAUCUAUCUGCCCCAAUGGCCACCUGGCCUCUGUGACAAGCAGCUACAUUCGUGACGGAAUGGGCAAGUUAAUGGACCGGUAUGGCGGGCGCACUCGCGCAUGGCUUGGAGGACGGAGAAUCAUUGGUACAAAUAAUUUUGUUUGGUUGGAUGGAACGCAGUGGAGCUAUAAUGGCUGGGCUUUUGGAGAGCCCAAUAAUGCUGGUGGGAUGGAGAAUUGCGUGGAGACGUGGAGUAAGUGUUGCUACUGAACAACAGUUAACAAAAAUCUGUCAAUAAAAAGUCACAUUCAUUGCACAGAUCCAAAGGAAUAAUAUAUAAAUAUUAACUCCUUCACCUAAGUUUUAUUCUCUGUGUUCCUUUUGUAGUGAUGCCUUCCUCUUUUCAUGAUCUGUCUUUACCAGUUUUUACAAAGCUUUGUCUAUUUUCAGAUGAUCUGGCGUUCAGUGAUGUACCAUGCGCAAUACCCAAACCGUUCAUCUGUUCCUGUCCAGUUUAGACAGCCAGAAGGUUAACCUAACCUGCU